rnacentral:rRNA from 3 species
CCUAGUGAUGAUAGCGGAGAGGAAACACCCGUUCCCAUCCCGAACACGGAAGUUAAGCUCUCCAGCGCCGAUGGUAGUUGGGGCCAGCGCCCCUGCAAGAGUAGGUCGUUGCUAGGC